AUUGAACGCUGGCGGCAUGCCUUACACAUGCAAGUCGAACGGUAACGCGGGGCAACCUGGCGACGAGUGGCGAACGGGUGAGUAAUACAUCGGAACGUGCCCAGUAGUGGGGGAUAGCCCGGCGAAAGCCGGAUUAAUACCGCAUACGACCUACGGGUGAAAGCGGGGGAUCGCAAGACCUCGCGCUGUCGGAGCGGCCGAUGUCAGAUUAGCUAGUUGGUGGGGUAAAGGCCUACCAAGGCGACGAUCUGUAGCUGGUCUGAGAGGACGACCAGCCACGCUGGGACUGAGACACGGCCCAGACUCCUACGGGAGGCAGCAGUGGGGAAUUUUGGACAAUGGGCGCAAGCCUGAUCCAGCCAUGCCGCGUGCGGGAAGAAGGCCUUCGGGUUGUAAACCGCUUUUGUCAGGGAAGAAACGCUCCGAGCUAAUACCUCGGAGUAAUGACGGUACCUGAAGAAUAAGCACCGGCUAACUACGUGCCAGCAGCCGCCGUAAAAC
rnacentral:rRNA from 1 species